rnacentral:lncRNA from 10 species
UCAAGCUAAGACAGUGGCUGCAAGUGGAAGAGGAAAGCCUGAUGGUGCCAAUGGUAAGGGGUUUCAGUGAAGUCCAAUGGAACAAUGGAGCAUGAGCAGAGGAGAUAUAUGCAAGAUGGGUGUCCACUGUGGUCCCUUGCUGCCCCGUUCCCACACAGCUUCAGGAGUGCCCCCGAGCACAGAAUCUGGUGGACCUAAGACGCAUGAGAGUUCAGCCAGGCUCAAAACCAGCACAGAGUAAGUGUAUCAGAGAAACAACUGAGUCUGCAGGCUGCUGAGGGCCAUGAAAGGCCACGCUCUCCAUUUGAGACAGUAUUUACUUGGAACACAAAAAGGUGAAGGUAUUCUAAGAAACAUGAACCACCGAGGUACCCUUAUCACAUGUUUUCCUACUUGUGUAUUUCUUACCUCUCUGUAUUAGGCAACCACUUAUGCUGAAAAUAAAGACAUAGAAGGAAAGGAAUAGAUGGGACAACACAUAAUUCCUUUUCCUUUCUGUCUUUCCUUAUUCAUAAGCAAAGCCAAAGGUAGAGAACAUUAAUGGAAUAUCAGCAUAUCCAGAAAUAAAAUACAAACAGCUGAGUUUGUUUUAUGCAGUGUUUUUGCUGUUCUGGUUAAGAACAGAAUAUCUAAGUAUGUCUACAAGCUACCAGGUACAAAUCGUGUGCUUUUGGUGAUUCUACAUAUAAGUGAAAUGCGAUUAUAUUUGCUUCUGUAACUGGUAUUGUACAAUGUAAAAAUGAAGGUUAAAAUUCAUACUAAUAAUUUUAAUGUUUAAUUUUUCCCUCCUUAGAAAAACAUUAAUACCAACUAAAAAAACACCAUGACAAGAGAAAUACCACAGAAAGAAGGAAAAAGCUUUCUAUUUUAGUACGUUUAGUGGCACUUUUUUCCUCCUUUGUGAGCAAGGUGCCCCACAAAUUAUGUAGCAAACAAACCCUGUUCACAAGUUUGCUUCCCAUGUGUGAGAUCUGGAAGGCAACAAUAGUGUGGACACAACCUUCCUUCCUACCCACUACCUGCAUCAAGGUCAUUGCCACUGCCUGAGGCCAGCCAUGUUUCAUGAUUUAAGACACUUUCAUCACAAGAUGAAAACAAUGUGAAUCCCAAACUAAUGUUUAAAUUAGUUUUGGGGUUCUUUUACUUAUCCCAAAGCUAAUUCAGGGUUUUCAGAAUGAUAUCAUAUUUAAAUUAAUUUUAAUUUUUAUUCAGGUAAUACUUUUGUAUAAUUUCACAUUUCAAAUAGCAUAUGAUUUUUAAAAUUUAGAUAUAAUUCGCAAACCCUAAAAUUCAGCUUUUCAAAGUAUAAAAUUUAGUAGUUUUUAGUAUACUCACAAAGUGAUGCAACCAUCACCACCAUUCUAAUUACAAAUAUUUUCAUCAUCCCAAAAAAGAAACCGUGUACCUUAUUGGCAGUCAUACCCCAUUUCCCCUCUCCCAAGCCCCUGUCAAUUACUAAUCUAUUUUCUGUCUCUGUGGAUUUGUUUAUUCUGAAUAUUUUGUACAAAUGGAAUCAUACGAUAUGAGAUCUUUUGUGUCUGGCUUCUUUCACUUAGCACAAUGUUUUCAAGAUUCAUUCUUGUUCUAACAGGUAUCAAUACAUCAUUCCUUUUUAUGGUUAAUAUUCCAUUGUAUAGAUAUGCCACAUUUUGUUUAUCCAUUCAUCCACUGAAGUAUAUAAAGUUUUGUGUUUUGUG